UGGGGAAUAUUGGACAAUGGGCGCAAGCCUGAUCCAGCAAUACCGCGUGAGUGAUGAAGGUCUUCGGAUUGUAAAGCUCUUUUAGUAGGGAAGAUAAUGACGGUACCUACAGAAAAAGCACCGGCAAACUUCGUGCCAGCAGCCGCGGUAAUACGAAGGGUGCUAGCGUUGUUCGGAAUUACUGGGCGUAAAGCGUACGUAGGCGGUUUAGUAAGUCGAUUGUGAAAGCCCCAGGCUCAACUUGGGAACUGCAGUCGAAACUGCUUUACUAGAAUCUGAUGGGGGAUAGUGGAAUUCCUAGUGUAGGGGUGAAAUCCGUAGAUAUUAGGAGGAACACCAGUGGCGAAGGCGACUAUCUAUGUCAGUAUUGACGCUGAGGUACGAAAGCGUGGGGAGCAAA
rnacentral:rRNA from 1 species